rnacentral:rRNA from 1 species
AACGAACGCUGGCGGCAUGCCUAACACAUGCAAGUCGAACGAGACCUUCGGGUCUAGUGGCGCACGGGUGCGUAACGCGUGGGAACCUGCCCUUAGGUUCGGAAUAACUCCCCGAAAGGGGUGCUAAUACCGGAUAAUGUCUUCGGACCAAAGAUUUAUCGCCUUUGGAUGGGCCCGCGUUGGAUUAGCUAGUUGGUAGGGUAAAAGCCUACCAAGGCGACGAUCCAUAGCUGGUCUGAGAGGAUGAUCAGCCACACUGGGACUGAGACACGGCCCAGACUCCUACGGGAGGCAGCAGUGGGGAAUAUUGGACAAUGGGCGAAAGCCUGAGCCAGCAAUGCCGCGUGAGUGAUGAAGGCCUUAGGGGUGUAAAGCUCUUUUACCCGGGAUGAUAAUGACAGUACCGGGAGAAUAAGCUCCGGCUAACUCCG